rnacentral:misc_RNA from 1 species
AUAAUAAUAACAAGAAUAACAGUGAUAAUAAUAAUAAUAAUAAUAAUACUACUAAUAAUAAUAGUAAUAAUAAUCUACCUUUGUAAGGUAUAAAAACAAGGAUUUGAUAAAACAACAAUAACAAUAUAAAUGAUGUAAACGUAGUUUUCGGUAUCUUUAUUUAAUAUAAUUGAUUAUUUUUAUGUUACCAAUGAUAUUACCAAAUAUUGUCUAUAUGUAUAUUAGUUCCUUACAUAGAACAAAUUUUAUUUAGAGUCUACUUUUCGCGUUGGGUGUGAUGUGUGUGUAUGUGUAUGCGCGCGCCUAUACAGUAGCAUACGUAUUACGAUGUUUUCUAAUAUUGCUUUUGCAAGAUAUGUGAUAUUUUUCUUUUGUAAAUUCUUUGUAUUUCUACAGUAAACAUACAAAUUAAAAGUCCGGAAAUUAAAAGUUCACGUUAAAUUUAAAUUACACAUAUCAUGCGGUUAAAGGAACAAUAUUAUUUAUUAUCUAAAAAAUACCUAUUGGAGUUUAAUGUUACAUUUAAUUACGUUGUUAAUGAAUGAAUUAUAAUUCUGUUGUAAUAUUAUAAAUUAUUUCAUAUACAUAUAUUUCAUUGCUUACCUUAGUAUGCGAAUAACUUAUUUAGAUAUAUGUUUAUACAAAUUAUUUAAAAAUACUUGCAUGUUAUUUUUAAUUGUAAUUUUCUUUUCAACGCAUAUCUUCAACUUGAAAGAAUAUGUAAAAUUAUAGAUUUUCCUAUGCGUAUAGCAUAAGAUUGAUAUAUUUUGUUUAUAUUUGCGUAAGAGAUAUGUGAGGUUAUGUUAUGAAAUUAAAAAAUUGACGCCAUUUGGUAACUAUGCAAUAUGGCAGUACUCGUUGCACGUAUACUAUAAUAUAAAUAUAGCAUUAAGAGACAUCGACAAAAAACAUCUUACUCGAAGUAUUUUAUCAAGUUUAUCAAUUAAACUUCUUAUAGGUUUUUAAAACGUUAUCAAAUACGUGAUAAUGUGGCAAGAUAAAGAGAUAAGAUUUGAUGUAUUUUACACUCAAAUGCAAUUACGAGCUGGUGAAAUAAUGGUAGACAAACUCGAUCUAAUAGAAGACACGAAAGGAAAUUCUGGUGACAAUGGAAGAUUAAUUGUAACGAAUCUGCGAAUUUUAUGGCAUUCUUUGUCUUUACCAAGAAUUAAUUUAAGUAUUGGUUUCAAUACUUUCGUUACAAUCAAUUCAAAAACUGUAAGUACAAUUAAAGGUGGAUACACACAAGCCUUACACAUUUUAACGUCUUUUCGAAAUAGUCAAUAUGAAUUUAUAUUCACAAAUUUAGAUUCGAAAAGUACUAGACAUUAUACCUCAGUUAUUGGCGUAUAUAGAGCUUAUACGUCAUCCAAAAUUUAUCGAGAAAUUAAAUUAAGAAGUGGUAUUAUUAAUGAAAAUAGAUUGACUUUGUUGCCAUAUGAAAAAGUUCAUUCCAGUUCACCAGACGUAUGGAAUUUGUCUGUGGAGCAGGGAAAUGUCGGAACUUUGAUCGUUACAAAUAUUCGUCUUGUAUGGUUUGCAGAUAUGAAUAAUCAAUUUAAUGUAUCGAUACCAUACCUAUCGAUUGCUAGCGUUACAAUUAAAAAUUCGAAAUUUGGGCCGACUUUAGUAAUAUUAAGCAACGAAAAUAAUGGUGGAUAUGUAUUAGGAUUUCGUAUAAAUCCAAUACAAAAACUUAAUACUCUUCAUAAAGAAAUAAAUAUAUUAAUAACAGCGUAUAAUAAGUCACCAAUCUUUGGUGUAGACUACACUCUUGAAUAUCAGGGACCGAUGGAAGAAGAGAUUCACCCAGAACGUUUCAGUGAAAUACAAGAUAACCAGGCUGACAUUUCAGAUGCUGUUGGGUAUUAUUUUUUUGAAGGAGGCUUCAUGCAAAGGAAAGCAAAUUUCUCAAAUUAUUUGGGAUUAGCUAUAGAAGAUCCCAGAGAAGGAAGUACCUUACAAAAUUUAUGGGAACUUGUUCCAUCUACUUGAUUCAUUUUUCUAUGCAUUAAGAAUAUUUUCUUAUAUAGACACCCUUGGCAUAUAAUAAAGCUUCUACCGACCUAUGAAGAUCGAACAAACAUCGUGCUAACCUAUAAAUAUCGUACAUAUGUUAAAAAUAAAACAAAUAAAAAAACGGAAUGAUUGUGUACGUUUGAUUUCAUUGUCAAUCAUGGAAGAGUAAAAGAAAUUGUCUUUUUAACCUAAAGUGUGCCUUCACAUGUUGCGGGUCAAAAAGCAAAGUUGUCCGACAAUCGCGUAAAGCGGCAUAAGUAUCGCCAUCCCUGUAAAUUGCAAUAAUAUAGCGGUAAUUAAAUAAAUAAACCUAUUCAAGUGUAAUAGUA